CUCAGGCGUAAACAAUCGAUCCUGGCCAAAAUCGAACCAACGCCCAGCCAAUCACGUGGCGCUCCUCCGGUCAUGUGACGCAGACGGUUCACCUCACAAGACCGGGGUCAACCACAGCUACCAGCAUGAACGACGGCGCUUCACAACACCGUCUGAACUGACCAGUCUGGUGAAAUUCUGGACUGGAUGGGAGACUCUACCAAGAACUCUCUCCACAGAAGUAGUGAAUGGCAGAUACCUGACAGCCUCCACCUGCUAUGAGACCUUAGACAUCCCAGGACAUUACAAGGACUACACAUCAUUUAAGACUGACAUCCUGGCCUGUAUUUGCACUUGCCAGUCAAGAUAUGUUAGGUGUUGUUCUCUAGUUAGUUUUACUUGACUGACAAAACUAAGUGCACUUUUGGAUUCCCUCCCCUACCUGUUCUCCCAACUCACCUGACAGGUUAUCUGGCUCAAUAAGGCAGCAUCAGGAGACAAACAUGGAGGAAAUAUGAGAACAGAGAGAACCCAACCAGCAGGUCACAGUUUAUCAUCAUCUAAUCAUCUCCUGAAGUCGAUAUGGUCCCUCUCUAUCUCCCCACACAUCCACCAACCACUGGAACACAUCUCCAAAGUUCUGCUGGUCCAGCUCAGCUUCCCCUCAGAAGAAGUGGUGCCACCUGCCAGAUGAAGGAGCCUUUUGAGAGGCAGCUGGCAUCGUGAUUGGACUGUACUUUGGUCUGUUCCAAUCCAGCUUCAGCUCCAGAGACGGCAGGCGGGACGAGUCAACGGAGGCCGAGUGGACGAAGGCAUGCAGCUGAGUACAAUCCAGAAAACAACAGAGGAGGAGUGCAGCGGCCCAGAGCCAGAACAAACACAGUAGCAUCGUAUGUCUCUUAGAAAACAUCAUAGUAUAGCCUUUGGUAUGAAAAAACACCAUCAUAUACAUCAUAUAUUGUACAAAUAACAAGUCAAAGGAAAGAGACAUACAUUGUAGAAUUGUAGUAAUUGUGUGCUGACUGAUUUACUGAUUAUCAGUAUUUUAUUUUUUUUGCUGAUUUAUGGUAAUAAAUCCAUUUAAAAAUGGCGCUACUUUGGCUCUGAACCUUUAUCUACCUGUGGUCGCUCUGUCUUCUGGAGUGAUUUGAUUGGUUAUCUGUCACGAAUAAAACUCCUUUAACUUAACAUCUGUAAACAAAACAAAAACGUAUCAACAAAGUUUUCUGUUAGAGUUUGUGUUCUUCUAAGUUUAACUCCAAGAUUUUAAAUACUUUCAUUUACUGCAAAUGAAUAUCUACUCCAAAUGUUUCACUAAUAAUCAUUAUCAGCCUUAAAAACCCACAAAACACCCCUCUAUACUCAACCACACUUAGUACAGUCCGGUUCCCCCUUCUAUAAAUCUGCUUGGAAUCGUCCACUUCCUGUUUGUCAAAGUGGCCUUCUACCUGGACAGGUUUUGUUGGAGCUCAUGCAACAAACAUUUUGGGUAACUGCACUUUAAUAUGGAUGGAUUACACUGAAUUAGAGUCUGUUUUAAUGAGACUGAGUUAAGAUGUGUAGCUCUGUCAUUAAAUAGGAAAUUAUUUCUCAGAAUUCACAGAGGAAAGUCUGAAAUGUUUGCUAGGUUAGCGUCCCACAUGUUCUUUGGCUCAGCUAAAGCUAACUCUCUCCAACUUCUGGAUCUCUUGAGUUGCUUGUUGUUAAAAUAUCUUGCUAGAGGUGCUGAAGCUCAAAGUCUGAGAUGUUUGUUCAAAGUAAGCUCAUUCUCAAGUCUGAUCUGAACUGUCCUCUUUUGUUUGAACUUUCCCUAAACUUAGGAGUUAAUGACAGAGCAGCACAUCCAGACUCAGUCUCAUUUAUGUAGAGAUUAAACUUCAGUGUCAUUCAUUGAUGUUAAAGUGCAGUUUUUCAAAUGUUUGUUGCACAUGCUCCCGACCAAACCAGUCCAGGUGGAAGACGAUGUGAAGAGAAAGCUCCAGAGGAUGAAUAUCACACAUUUACGUUGGAAAUAAAUGUCCUUUAAUUAGACAUUGUCAUGCAAAAGUUGGAUUUCCCUUUAAUGAUGUUCAAAUCUUUGUUGAGUGUUUCGUGGAUGUUGGUUUCUAAAUGUUUUUGGACACUCGGCCCCAA